UCUGGGCGCCAAUAAGUUAGCAAUAUCAGAAAUUCAAGUGCACUGCAGCUAAAACUAAUGGAAAAUAAGGAGAACUUUCACAAGAAAUUGACAAAGAUUUUCAUGGAGCAGGAUAGGCGCAUGGACUUCAUUUACAAAUAAAGAUAUUCACCCCUACUUCUGAUCACAUAGCCACUUCUACUCGAUUCUGAAACCUAACGGCUCAAGUGGAGGGGACUGUGCAUAAAAAUAUUCAGCUAGGAAUACAGAAAGUUUGAGGCAACCAAUAUUGGAAUAUGUGCAUAUGAAACAGCUGUCAUAGAUGCCCAGGGACUUUGCCCCGCCGGGACGUCGGAAGAAGCAGUGGACCAGAAAUGGGACAAUAUUUUCCCUGGAUUGCAGGUGGGUGGCCGCCCUUGAGUGAGAAGAUGGAGUCACUGCCAGGGGGCGCCUGGAUGUGGUUGGAACCUUGGAUGGCAGCACUUCCGCUACACCAGAGAAACAGUAAGAGAGAGAGAGACUGAGACUGUUGAUAUUGUGGUACUGUGUACUUAA